AAUAACAGUGGUAGGUAGAUGUAAGAU
rnacentral:guide_RNA from 1 species